AAAAAAGAGAACAUUGUUGUUAGUAACACGCAGAAGAACAACCGCUCCUCAAAAGUCUUUCGGUCGGCGCCGCUUCAUGGUUAGUAAUCAGUUCCAGGUUCAAUUGUUCUCACUCCCCGCUCACAGUACUCUUCCAGACUGGUUAGACGAAUAAGUGCAUAUAGUGUUGGUUGAUUGAAAGUUGAUUGUUAGAGGAAGGGAGUAACAACAAGAAAGAAUCAUUUGAGUUUAGGACUGGUUGUUGCAGCUCUCACUUGGACUGCCCUAUUGGUUUUGGUUUUUUCUGUAGUGCCUCAUGGACUUAGUUGUUCCAUUGUAUGUUUCUAACCCAUGUAGCACUUCUUGUGCUUGUGGGCUUUAUUAAUAAAUCUUUAGCUUCUAAAAAAAAAAAAACCCUUUGAACCCUUCUAAUUCCCAAAGGUCAAAGCUCAAUCAAUCUAUGUUUUGGCAUAGAGAAUCCUUAUAGCAUAUAUUGUGUCAAAUUUAGGCCACUAAUUUAGUAUCUUGCCCUUUUUGGA